GUUGAACGCUGGCGGCAGGCCUAAAACAUGCAAGUCGAACGAGUGGAGGACGGGUGAGUAAUGUAUGGGAAACUGCACGAUGGAGGGGGAUAACUACGGGAAAAGGUAGCUAAUACCGCAUACCAUCGGUUGUGCUCAGAGGGGAUUAGCUAGUAGGUGGGGUAACGGCUCACCUAGGCGAAGAUCCCUAGCUGAUCUGAGAGGCAGACCAGCCACACGUGAACUGAGACACGGCCCAGACUCCUACGGGAGGCAGCAGUGGGGAAUAUUGCACAAUGGGCGCAAGCCUGAUGCAGCAAUGCCGCGUGUAUGAAGAAGGCCUUCGGGUUGUAAAGUACUGUCAGCGAGGAGGCGUUACUCGCAGAAGAAGCAACGGCUAACUCCGUGCCAGCAGCCGCGGUAAUUC
rnacentral:rRNA from 1 species